GGCCGUCUGAUCUUGGAUUUUCAGUUUCCAAGACUGUGAGCUGCAUAAAUCUCUUUUCAUUGUGCAUUAUCCAGCUAUUUCAUCACAGUAACGGGAAAUGAACUAAUACAUAUGGGAAAGAAAUUUUCAUUUCAAGUAUAGACUUUCCCCCGUCUCCAUUAUCUCUCACAAAAUUUGCUUUCUAACUAAGGCAAGGUAACAGAGUGGGGGCUAAAGACUAGAAAGGAGAUGCACUAUUAGGAAUGAUAUCCAAAUGAUAUUUGUGAUCUCAAGGCUGUAUCUUUUGCUUUUGUAAGGAUUGAUUAACUCUGGCUAUGCUGAAGAGUACUUAUUUUCUCUCUCUCUUUUCCUGUCUCUCACAUCACCAGUGGAACCCAAUGAAACAGUGAUUGGCUGAUGAAAUCUAUCAUGACUGCCAGACACAAAGAAAUGGACUUUCCUGGUGCUGGAAUUCAAGAGAAAGACCUCCAGAAAAGGGAGAGGCCCUGCCGACUCCAAGAUGGGAAAGGAAGGCAGGGGUCCAGGACAAGGAAGGCGUUUGGCUGGGGCCUGUGGGCCCAAGCUGCUGCAGUCUGGGUG
rnacentral:lncRNA from 1 species